CAUGGCCAUGGAAAUGUAUAAAGCUAGCUGGCAAACGUAUAAAGCUAGCUGGCUUUUGCAGAAAGUCAGCCUCCUGCCCUUGGCCUCAUUAACUCACUGCUCCAUCCAACAGAGCCAACUAGCCACAGGCAAGCAGCUCCUGAAAUAGCCUGGUAUCAACCCCUGAUAAAUACCAUGCACAUUAGAUUCCAACUUUUCCUUCCAAGACAACUCCUGAAAACGUCCACAACCAUAGAACUUCAAUGUCCUGGAAGAAUGCAGAAGAACCCCAACAAUCAAGAACCCUAGGCAGAAAGGGCUAUGGUAUGUGGGAGAGAAUAAGGGCAGAGAAUCUGACAUUUUCACUCUCAGACACAGAGACUAUUCAACUGUAAAAGUCAACUGGUACACAGAGCCACGCUGAUGAUAUUUUGACUUGUUAACGGAGAGAAGAGGAAAUAGAUUACAGGUAACCACAGACACCAGGAAGAGUGCAAGGAGUGAUGGGCAACACCAAGUUGUGCAAACAUUUAUGCAAAUAUUUUCUCUUUUCUUGGCAGGGAUGUUUUUGUCACCUUCUGGCCUCAGCUGCCUGGCUAGGCUCUUCCUACCUAGGCUUUUCUUUGUGGCUGCAAUUUGAUGAGAAUAAUAUAUAACUGAUGGAAGGGCUCUCUAGGUGCAGUUUUCUUAGAUUAAAUAUGGAUUUUGGUGAAGAUGUGCUUUUUCAGUUAAAAAAAAAUCCUAUUCCUAGAAAUAAGCUUUGUCCUUAACUAUAGGUCAGAGGUGAUCCACCCGCUCUAGGAAAAUCCACCUCCACAUUUCAGUGUGGGCCAUAUAUGCCCAUCCUACUCAGGUGUGCAUCAAGAUGGAGCACACCACUUUACCACUUCUUGAAGUUUCCAAGGGAGAAUGGUUUGGGACAGGUGUUUGUACAGGAAGAUAGAAGGUAGUCGGAGAGUCAUCUUCUCUGAUAGUCAUAGUCCUCUCUGUGUGACAGCUCUGCCACAUCCACGUCGCAUACUUCUUUACACUUCAUCACACCUGUUCACACAUAGGAGAAUUGACGAAUCAAUUAACAGCAUCCUGCUGGUGCUCACACAUCACUUUGCAUCAAAUCAGCAAUUCUUUUGAUGGGGGCUGACGUUUACCAUCCUUGUUGGAAACUUUCCAAGGCAUGAAUUAAAAUACAACCAAACUUAACUAUGAAAUCAUUGAGAGGAUUGGUAAAGGCCACAAACAUUUAAAGUUUCAAGUGGGAAUGAAAUCUGCUUGCUUAUUUUAAUGCGA
rnacentral:lncRNA from 10 species